UGCCAGCAGCCGCGGUAAUACGAAGGGUGCAAGCGUUACUCGGAAUUACUGGGCGUAAAGCGUGCGUAGGUGGUUUGUUAAGUCUGAUGUGAAAGCCCUGGGCUCAACCUGGGAAUGGCAUUGGAAACUGGCUUACUAGAGUGCGGUAGAGGGUAUCGGAAUUCCCGGUGUAGCAGUGAAAUGCGUAGAUAUCGGGAGGAACAUCCGUGGCGAAGGCGGCUACCUGGACCAGCACUGACACUGAGGCACGAAAGCGUGGGGAGCAAACAGGAUUAGAUACCCUGGUAGUCC
rnacentral:rRNA from 1 species